UACGAAGGGGGCUAGCGUUGCUCGGAAUCACUGGGCGUAAAGGGUGCGUAGGCGGGUCUUUAAGUCAGGGGUGAAAUCCUGGAGCUCAACUCCAGAACUGCCUUUGAUACUGAGGAUCUUGAGUACGGGAGAGGUGAGUGGAACUGCGAGUGUAGAGGUGAAAUUCGUAGAUAUUCGCAAGAACACCAGUGGCGAAGGCGGCUCACUGGCCCGGUACUGACGCUGAGGUGCGAAAGCGUGGGGAGCAACAGG
rnacentral:rRNA from 1 species